rnacentral:misc_RNA from 1 species
ACAUCUUCUAAUUUUUUGGCGACCGUUCCCACGAACAUGAAAUUGGAAAUAUCUCCAUCUAGCAAUUUCUGAACUUGUUGUGCACCAUCUCUUUCGAGCUCCUCUGCUUCGGUUAUCAUCGCUUCCACCAUCGAAACCCACAAUCGAACUUGUUGCAGAGCCUUCCUUUGUUGUCCUUCUUCUAAGUCAACCUUCCGCUUCACA